rnacentral:sRNA from 1 species
UUUUGACGGUGGGCAAUGUUGACAAUGG